UAAGGAAUAUUGCUCAAUGGGAGAAAUCCUGAAGCAGCAACGCCGCGUGGAGGAUGAAGGGUCUAUGACUUGUAAACUCCUGUAAAGAAGGAAAAAAUUCCCAUUUGAUGGGAGAUGAUGGUACUUCUGGAGUAAGCCCCGGCUAACUACGUGCCAGCAGCCGCGGUAAUACGUAGGGGGCAAGCGUUGUCCGGAUUUACUGGGUGCAAAGGGUGCUCAGGCGGAUUUGUAAGUCAGAGGUGAAAUCUUACAGCUUAACUGUGAAACUGCCUUUGAUACUGCAAGCCUAGAGUAUGGAAGAGAGUGAUGGAAUAUCUGGUGUAGCAGUGAAAUGCGUAGAUAUCAGAUAGAACACCAAUGGCGAAGGCAGUCACUUGGUCCAUUACUGACGCUAAAGCACGAAAGCGUGGGUAGCAAACA
rnacentral:rRNA from 1 species